ensembl:lncRNA
GGGGGCGCUGUGUCCGUAUAUAUACUGAUAAGGGGGCGCUGUGUCGUUUGUAUAUAUACUGAUAAGGGGGCGCUGUGUCGUUUGUAUACUGAUAGGGGCGCUGUGUCGUUUGUAUAUAUACUGAUAGGGGGCGCUGUGUCGUUCGUAUAUAUACUGAUAGGGGGCGCUGUGUCGAAGUCACCGUACCGCCAUCUUGGCACUCCCUCACCAUUUGUAAAACAUCUAUUUUAAUUUAUUACAGACACCUGUAAGAGUGUAAAGUGACCCGGUGCAGAAAGCCUAGCGGUUAAGCGCGUUGAGCCAAUAACCGAAAGGUUGCUGGUUCGAAUCCUCGACCGGGCAAGGUGUAAAAAAAUAAAUAAAAUCUGCCGUUCUCCCUUUGAACAAGUCAGUUAACCCCCAACAACAACUGCUCCCCGGGUACCGAUGUCGUGGAUUAAGGCAGCCCCCCCCCCACCUCCCUGAUUCAGAGGGGUUGGGUUAAGUGCUGAAGACAGUUCAAUUCAAUGCAUUGUUGUGCAAUGUAUCCCCAACCAACUGACUAGGUAUCCCCAACCAACUGACUAGGUAUCCCCAACCAACUGACGAGGUAUCCCCAAGCAACUGACGAGGUAUCCCCAAGCAACUCGACGAGGUAUCCCCAAGCAACUCGACGAGGUAUCCCCAAGCAACUCGACGAGGUAUCCCCAAGCAACUGACGAGGUAUCCCCAAGCAACUGACGAGGUAUCCCCAAGCAACUGACGAGGUAUCCCCCCAAGCAACUGACGAGGUAUCCCCCCAAGCAACUGACGAGGUAUCCCCAGGCAACUGACGAGGUAUCCCCCCAAGCAACUGACGAGGUAUCCCCUUUGUGUGACAGAGAGAAGUGUUUGCAGUGCUGCUGGUGGAAACGUCAUUUCGCCUAGUCAUCCUUUUAAAGCAGCCUUCAGGUACGGGUGUUAAUGGUGUCAGGGUAAAUGUAUAAUUUCAUUAAUUACUGGAAUUGAUUUGUACAUCUUACUGUAGAAAUUACCAGGCCUACUGUACAUCUUACUGUAGAAAUGACCAGGCCUACUGUACAUCUUACUGUAGAAAUGAUCAGGCCUACUGAACAUCUUACUGUAGAAAUGAUCAGG